GAACAUACAUCUAAGAAAGUGUUUAAUAAUCCCCUCAUAUUAACAGUGGAUCAGUCAAUCAACAAUACAGUGUAUAUUUGUAGUUUACUGAUUAUUAAAAAUCCAAUUAACUGUCCUUUUCAACAAGUGAAUAUAUCUGUUACAGUGAAAGAUACAUUUAUAAUGAGAGUAAUGACUAAUACUGUCCACCUGAUCUUAUCAAACAUUUAUCACCAGUUGGAGUGCCAUAUUGCUACUAACACUGAUAUUAACAUUACUAACACUGAUAUUAACAGUAUAGUUAAUGUAUCCUGGUAUAGAGACAAUGGUAAUGAGAACAGACUAGUAUCAGACAGUGAAGCAGUAUCUAUAUUACCCGUUGUGUCUGUUAAUGAUACAUCAUUUAUUAGUACACUGAGGUUCAGUCCAAUAGCAUCGUCAACUCCAGUAUCAACACUUGGUAAUUACACUUGUGUAGCAUGGAUAGGAGAACAAUCAGUUAAAA